GAUGAACGCUGGCGGCGUGCUUAACACAUGCAAGUCGAGCGAGAAGUUUUGAAAAGAUUCUUCGGAUGAAAUUUAAAAUGGAAAGCGGCGGACGGGUGAGUAACGCGUAGGCAACCUGCCCCAUACAAAGGGAUAGCAUUUGGAAACGAAUAUUAAUACCUUAUGAAACUUAACUAGUGCAUGCUAGGUAGGUCAAAGAUUUAUCGGUAUGGGAUGGGCCUGCGUCUGAUUAGCUAGUUGGUGGGGUAACGGCUCACCAAGGCGACGAUCGGUAGCCGCCCUGAGGGGAUGAUCAGCCACACUGGAGCGGAGACGAGGUCCAGCCUCCGAAGGGAGGCAGCAGUCGGGAAUAUUCGAGAAGGGGCGGAAGGGUGAUCUAGACAUACGGCGUAGGUGAAAUGCGGCAACGCGUCGUGAACGAUGAUUGUUGGGGAAGAAAAGAAGCCUGUUAUAAGCGAGGUGUUCUGACGGUACCCAAGGAGUAAGCACCGGCUAACUUCGUG
rnacentral:rRNA from 1 species